rnacentral:pre_miRNA from 11 species
CUGACAGAAGAGAGUGAGCACACAAAGGCAACUUGUAUCAUAGUUAUAUGAUUGUUUUGUGUGCUCAUGAUCUAUCUGUCAG